rnacentral:lncRNA from 1 species
UGUAUAUCAUAGAGUACUGCAGAGAUUAUAAAUGUAGAUGCAUGAUUUUUUUUUCUUCAUAUCAACUCAGUUAAAUAUCAAACCAUUAAAAGACACUUAUGAGAGAGAGAUUUUAAAUGCUUAUCACAUCUUGAGGUAGUCUGAUCUCCAAAAUAAAGCUCUUCUACACUUUGAUUCGUUCAUGACCAUCUUCCUUUUGAAUCCUUCUUCUUGGAAAAAUCUUUCGUUUAAGUGCGAUUAGCUGUUCAGCAAAAAAUGAGAUGACUGUAAAUACAAUAAGUGUUACUAGAACACAGUGGGUCCAGAAUUUCAGCUUGUCUCUAUACGCCCUCCAUUCCUGAAGUUCAUGCAUAUGAAGGAAACGAUUCCGAUAUUCUCUUGGCAGUUCAAAUUGAGAAGGAAUAGGAAACAUUGAUUCAUAAAAGUCCCUAAGCACCGCUUUCACUGUCUGAGCAUCCUUGUGAUUGUGGUCAAUAUUGUCAUUUAAGCAAACAAAUUUUCUGGGAUUUUUUCGUAUGUCAUCCAGCUGACCAACUACAUGAGACACAUUUGUGCGAAUCAUUUUGAAGGCAAUUUCCUCUUCUCCCAUGAUUUCAAACCUAUAUUUGUUUUUGUCCUUGUAUGCCUUACGAAUUCUGUCAGUCACAGGUUUGCAAUUAGUCACCAGGUUUUUAGUCACCGGAGGCUGGAAGAAAAUAUGGCUUAGUUUAAAGGUUACUGAAGUAUUUAUAAAGUCUGUUAUAAGGGAAUGCAUUCUAGAAAGUUACAUUACAGCUGUGAAGAACUAUUUAUUCUUUAUUCUCCUGGAACAAAAAAACCCAAUAUUGUUUCUUGAUCACCUGUUGAGAAAAAUCAUACUAGUACACUUUUUAGAUUUCAUCCUCAGUACAAUAUUCAGAAAUUGUAGCUCAUUUCACAGCUGCUUUUAAC